UACGACUACAUAUCAGGCAUAUCAAUAAGCGGAGGAAAAGAAACUAACAAGGAUUCCCUUAGUAACGGCGAGUGAAGCGGGAAGAGCUCAAAUUUGAAAUCUUCAAGGUUUUACCUUGACGAAUUGUAGUUUAAAGAAGUGUUUUCUGUUGAAGUUUUGGUAAAAGUUCUUUGGAAUAGGACAUCAUAGAGGGUGAGAAUCCCGUAUUUGACCAUUAUUUUCAGCUGUGUGAUACACUUUCAAAGAGUCGGAUUGUUUGGGAAUGCAGUCCAAAAUGGGUGGUAAAUUUCAUCUAAAGCUAAAUAUUGGCGAGAGACCGAUAGCGAACAAGUACCGUGAGGGAAAGAUGAAAAGAACUUUGAAAAGAGAGUUAAACAGUACGUGAAAUUGUCAAAAGGGAAGCGUUUGACACCAGUGUUGUUUUCUCGAAAAUCAAUUAAAAAAAGUUGGAUUUUGUGUUGUAUUGACCUUAACAGCUUGCUUCACUCUUUUCCAGCUUUUUUUAAUGCACUUUUCGUUUAACAAGUCAACAUCAGUUUCUUUUGUUGUAAAAGGGUCAUUGGAAGGUGGCUUUCUCUUCGGAGAAAGUGUUUAUAGCCUUUGAUCUCUGCAAUCGGAGAGACUGAGGUCUGCAGCGUAGAUCCUUCGGGGUUAGAUACAUUUGUGCUAAGCUACAGCUUUUCAUAGACAACUUGUUGGACUAUGUUUAGUCUUGUAACUUACCCGCUUAUGCUAUUUUACCUACGCUUAGGAUGUUGAGCGCAUGUCUCUCUCU
rnacentral:rRNA from 1 species